rnacentral:rRNA from 1 species
UUUAUAUGAGAGUUUGAUCCUGGCUCAGGAUGAACGCCGGCGGUGUGCCUAAUACAUGCAAGUCGUACGCACUGGCCCAACUGAUUGAUGGUGCUUGCACCUGAUUGACGAUGGAUCACCAGUGAGUGGCGGACGGGUGAGUAACACGUAGGUAACCUGCCCCAGAGCGGGGGAUAACAUUUGGAAACAGAUGCUAAUACCGCAUAACAACAAAAGCCACAUGGCUUUUGUUUGAAAGAUGGCUUUGGCUAUCACUCUGGGAUGGACCUGCGGUGCAUUAGCUAGUUGGUA